rnacentral:rRNA from 1 species
UACGGGGGGAGCAAGCGUUGUUCGGAUUUACUGGGCGUAAAGGGCGCGUAGGCGGUCACGACAAGUCAGUUGUGAAAUCUCCGGGCUUAACUCGGAACGGUCAACUGAUACUGUCGGACUAGAGUGCAGAAGGGGCAACUGGAAUUCUCGGUGUAGCGGUGAAAUGCGUAGAUGUCGAGAGGAACACCUGCGGCGAAGGCGGGUUGCUGGGCUGACACUGACGCUGAGGCGCGAAAGCUAGGGGAGCGAACGGG